UGCUGCUGGUGAAGCACCCCCUGUCAGAACACUGGGCCUUGCCAGGGGUAAGCC
rnacentral:snoRNA from 1 species